CCUCCGCGAUGCUUCAGGCACGUACCAGGGCAGCCUGGGCAGGGCUGGUCACUGUGAUCUCAUGAGGUGUGAACUUGACCCCGGCCUUCUUUCCUGGGAUGCCGGCUAAGGACACAAGUUCAGUGUUUGCCCUGGCUUGUAGCCCAGCGGGGGCUCCGUCAUCCCCUGGGGAAUGCCUCGGCCUGCAAGACCGCAUACCGCAUUGGAACAGGGAAACCACCUACUUCAGCACCUCCCUCAGCAAGGUGGCAGGUCCCAACAAGCCUUGCACCACGAGGAAGUGGCAGUGGCAUUCGGGAUAUGGCUCCCUGGCCAGCUUGUGAAGUUCAAGGGGCUCGUUACUUCUUACAGCUCACAGUCCCUCCCGGGUCCAGCACACCUGAGGGCUGACCUCCCUCUUGAUUAGUGCAGGGGAAAAGCACUUUAAAAAGCUGUGUCAUGCGUAACUUGCACAUCUUCUGAUUCUGACCUGAAACUGCAUCCCAGGUCGGCACAGACGCAACCCAGUCUCCUCCCACCUCCGAGAGUGCAGUGUCCUGAAUGGAGAACCCCAGCACCCAGAAGCAUCCACUGAAGGACGUACUUCUUUGAUAGUGCCUCCAUGCAUGCAGAAGAUGACGUGGAGAGCUCCGCGCGGCACAGGGCAGGAAGCUGGUGUGCACUCUCAUGGAUCCGAAGCCAACACACGCCUCUCAACUGAGGACUCUGCCCCUCUGGCAUUCUUCCAGCCACCAGCCCUGGGGGCCAGGAGCCACUGAGUGGGUCACACAGCCUUAGAGGGCAACGAGGGCAGGAGCUCGCCCUGGCGGUCCCCAUGCAGACAAGAGGGUCACUGGCUUCCUUGCUUUGCUCUUCCUGGACAUCUUCCUCGACAUUCAUCUUUCCAUCCUACCAAGAGCGUGGAAACCACAGGGCAUGAGGACAGGCGGAGACAACGCUGGACCAUCUCACAGCCACAUCAAGAGGCUGCCCACAUCAGGGCUUUCUACGUGGUUGCAAGGAACACAAACCUGUGUGCUCCAUUUGCCCACUGGCACUAGGCCUCCUGCCCACCACCCGCUUCUAGGCUAUUCGAGCCGCAGGAGCUACAGGCUGCUAGAGAACCCUGCGGCAGGAUGCUGGGCGCGGUUCAGCUUUUGCCAGGGAGCAGCAUGGGACUGGGAUUUGGAAGGUGUACAGUGGCUGCGGGCUUUAGCAGGAGGAGUGUCUACAGCACCUUCUGCUCCUCCAGAAAUAAGGAAACUGAGGCACAGCUAUAAAGCAAUGUCCUGAGACUGGCACCUGGGGGCUGCCCUCUUCCUGCCAGACUGAGUGCCUCAGAGUGCUACAACUGACCAGAGGGGAGAAGCCAACUGAGGCAGCCUGUUUACUUCUAAGGGACUAACCCACAUGAAAAGACCCAGGCCUCCUGCGCCGGCCUCACGGCCCCUACACGCGUUAUCAAGCUUGGAGUCAACUGGACGACCUGCUGUCCCUCAGACAGCUGUGAGUGCCACACUUCACCAUACCGGGACAAUGUGCCUUUGCAUGUGUGUCCUCUGCCCACCCUGGGCCCAUGAACAGCUCACUCCCCUUGCAAAACUUGACUGUAACUCCCUCUAGAAGAAUUUUUGGAC
ensembl:lncRNA NOP14-AS1 NOP14 antisense RNA 1